AGUGAACGCUGGCGGCGUGCCUAAUACAUGCAAGUCGAACGGAGUGGCGCACGGGUGAGUAAUAUAUAGCUAAUCUGCCCCUUGCUGGAGGACAACAGUUAGAAAUGACUGCUAAUACUCCAUAGCAAGGGAUUGGACGAUAUCGUAUCAGCUAGUCGGUGGGGUAACGGCCUACCGAGGCUAUGACGCGUCACUGAUCUGCGAGGAUGAUCAGCUACCUUGUAACUGAGGCACGGUCCAAACUCCUACGGGAGGCAGCAGUAGGGAAUAUUGCGCAAUGCGCGAAACCCUGACGCGGCAACGCCGCGUGGAGCAUGACACUUUUCGGAGCGUAAACACCUUUUGUUAGGGAAGCGGUACCUAACGAAUAAGCACCGGCUAACUCCGUGCCAGCAGCCGCGGUAAUUC
rnacentral:rRNA from 1 species